CUGACACUUGUGUUCAAUUAUCACUUUAGUACAAUAGGUGUGGACAUCAGGAAAUGGCCUCUCCCUGGCACCAGCUGCCAGUUUAUCACUUUUAGAGAGGCAAUGUGACCACUGCUGAACCAUCACCUGACAUUCGUAGUGGGUGGGGGAGAGCCUCUCCUGCCGCCGCUCAUGCCUGUCUAACUACCUAUAACACUUUCUGCUCUAUGAAUUUGACUAUUCUAGGGGACCUCAUAUGAGGCUUCAGGCUUGACCAAAUCUGACUGGCUGGCUGCCGGAGACACUGCUACCCAUCGGCCCUUAAUAAAUGGCCUCAUUUGAUCAUCAUGUGAUCUUCAGAAGCUGGGCUUGAUUAUCCUUGCCAAACAAAAUGCUGAAACCAAAAAUCUGAAAGGAGUGCUGCAGCCCUCCGCAGUUAAGUUCCCCAUUGCUGCAGCCCUCUACAGUGAAGGAAAGACCCUGGCUUUCCUCCCCAGCUCCAAGUGGGCUGUUCUGAUUGCUUCCGGGUCCUGUCCUCAUGGGGAGCAGCACCACGGGAGACUCUGCCUCUGCUGAGUUUUCUAACAUUAGUGUCGGGAAACAAGAAUCUGCCACUGAUGCUCCUUUUGUAAAGAUGUUUAUGUAACCCCUAUUAUGUGCCAGGUCUUCUUUGACUCACUAGGGAUUGAGUAUGACACAGAUAAAAAGAAAAUCCUGCCUGCAUGGACCUUCCCCUCCAGUGGAGAACCAACCGGACUAUUAAAAAUGAUAUAUUUUUGGUUAAAA
ensembl:lncRNA EPIC1 epigenetically induced MYC interacting lncRNA 1